rnacentral:rRNA from 1 species
GAUCCUGGCUCAGGAUGAACGCUGGCGGCGUGCUUAACACAUGCAAGUCGAACGAGAGAAGAUCGGUGCUUGCACUGAUCCGAUCGAGUGGCGGACGGGUGAGUAACGCGUGGGUAACCUGCCUUAUACAGGGGAAUAACAGUUGGAAACGGCUGCUAAAACCGCAUAAGCGCACAGUAUCGCAUGAUACAGUGUGAAAAACUCCGGUGGUAUGAGAUGGACCCGCGU